CUGCCCUGGAGCGCCCUGGCGCUGCUCUUGCUGCUGCUGCUGCUGCUCCUGCUGCUGCUGCUCCUGCUCGCGGAUGGCUAGGCUGCCCGAGGCCGCGCACACUCCGCGCGUGGCCCGGGCCGGGGUGCCGAGACUACCGAGGGCGCCCACUCCACCCCUUGAUGGACCAAGACUCGCCUGCAGUGUGGGAUGGGGGCUCCCCGAGGCCUCCUGCCUGGAAAAGCAAAGGUGGUUUCUCCGUGGACAGUUUGGUUAGGCAGUAGCCCCACAGCUGGAUUCAAGACCCUUACAGCCUGGAGUCAUUUCGUGUACCACUUGGUUUCCCCAGAACUCUGCAGCACGUGCGCCAUGUGUAGCAGGAACUUCACGUUUAUCAAUAACAAAGCAUCAUAGUCAACAAUGACUCAAAACAAAGUGUUUUAGAAAUUUAUUCAUUAUUUAUUCCCUGCUACUUCCAAAGGAGGAUCUGAGAUAACUUAUAGUAAAACACUUGUAGAAAA